rnacentral:rRNA from 1 species
UACGAAGGGGGGCUAGCGUUGCUCGGAAUGACUGGGCGUAAAGGGCGCGUAGGCGGAUGGCACAGUCAGAUGUGAAAUUCCUGGGCUUAACCUGGGGGCUGCAUUUGAUACGUGUGAUCUAGAGUGAGGAAGAGGGUUGUGGAAUUCCCAGUGUAGAGGUGAAAUUCGUAGAUAUUGGGAAGAACACCGGUGGCGAAGGCGGCGACCUGGUCCUUAACUGACGCUGGAGGCGCGAAAGCCGUGGGGAGCAAACAGG